UAGGGAAUAUUGGGCAAUGGACGGAAGUCUGACCCAGCCAUGCCGCGUGCAGGAUGAAGGCCUUCUGGGUUGUAAACUGCUUUUAUCUGGGAAGAAAACACCUAUGCGUAGGAAACUGACGGUACCAGAUGAAUAAGCACCGGCUAACUCCGUGCCAGCAGCCGCGGUAAUACGGAGGGUGCAAGCGUUGUCCGGAUUUAUUGGGUUUAAAGGGUGCGUAGGCGGCCCGUUAAGUCCGUGGUGAAAGCCUCCAGCUCAACUGGAGAACUGCCAUGGAUACUGGCGGGCUUGAGUACAGACGAGGUUGGCGGAAUUGAUAGUGUAGCGGUGAAAUGCAUAGAUACUAUCAAGAACUCCGAUUGCGUAGGCAGCUAACUAGGCUGUAACUGACGCUGAGGCACGAAAGCGUGGGGAGCGAACA
rnacentral:rRNA from 1 species